UUUAUGGAGAGUUUGAUCCUGGCUCAGGACGAACGCUGGCGGCGUUCCUAACACAUGCAAGUCGAACGGGAAGGCCCUUCGGGGUACACUAGUGGCGAACGGGUGAGUAACACGUGGGUGA
rnacentral:rRNA from 1 species